rnacentral:rRNA from 1 species
CCCUUCGAGCGGGGGAGUAACAUUCCGAAAGGAGUGCUAAUACCGCAUAAGACCACGCCUUCGAAAGAAGAAGCGGUCAAAGCUGGCCUCUAUUCAUAAGCUAGCACUUGAGGAUGAGCCCGCGGCCCAUCAGGUAGUUGGUAGGGUAAUGGCCUACCAAGCCUACGACGGGUAGCUGGUCUGAGAGGAUGAUCAGCCACACUGGAACUGAGACACGGUCCAG